rnacentral:rRNA from 1 species
GACGAACGCUGGCGGCGUGCUUAACACAUGCAAGUCGAACGGAAAGGCCCUGCUUUUGUGGGGUUCUCGAGUGGCGAACGGGUGAGUAACACGUGUGUAACCUGCCCUUUACUUUGGGAUAACUUCUGGAAACUGGGGCUAAUACCGGAUAGGAGCUCCUGCUGCAUUGUGUGGGUUGGAAAGUUUUGGGGGUUGGGGAUGGACUCGCGGCUUAUCAGCUUGUUGGUGGGGUAGUGGCUUACCAAGGCUUUGACGGGUAGCAGGCCUGUGAGGGUGACCGGGCACAAUGGGACUGAGAUACGGACCAGAGGGCAACGGGAGGCAGCAGUGGGGAAUAGUGCACAAUGGGCGGAAGCCUGAUGCAGCAACGCCGCGUGCGGGAUGACGGCCUUCGGGUUGUAAACCGAUGUCGACUGAGAAGAAGAGUGAGUGACGGUAAUGGGUAAAGAAGCAACGGCUAACUACGUG